rnacentral:rRNA from 1 species
UGAGACACGGUCCAAACUCCUACGGGAGGCAGCAGUGAGGAAUAUUGGUCAAUGGACGAGAGUCUGAACCAGCCAAGUAGCGUGAAGGAUGAAGGUCCUACGGAUUGUAAACUUCUUUUAUAAGGGAAUAAACCCUCCCACGUGUGGGAGCUUGUAUGUACCUUAUGAAUAAGCAUCGGCUAACUCCGUGCCAGCAGCCGCGGUAAUACGGAGGAUGCGAGCGUUAUCCGGAUUUAUUGGGUUUAAAGGGAGCGCAGACGGGAGAUUAAGUCAGUUGUGAAAGUUUGCGGCUCAACCGUAAAAUUGCAGUUGAUACUGGUUUCCUUGAGUGCAGUUGAGGCAGGCGGAAUUCGUGGUGUAGCGGUGAAAUGCUUAGAUAUCACGAAGAACUCCGAUUGCGAAGGCAGCCCACUAAUCCGUAACUGACGUUCAUGCUCGAAAGUGUGGGUAUCAAACAGGAUUAGAUACCCUGGUAGUCCACACGGUAAACGAUGGAUACUCGCUGUUGGCGAUAUACUGUCAGCGGCUUAGCGAAAGCGUUAAGUAUCCCACCUGGGGAGUACGCCGGCAACGGUGAAACUCAAAGGAAUUGACGGGGGCCCGCACAAGCGGAGGAACAUGUGGUUUAAUUCGAUGAUACGCGAGGAACCUUACCCGGGCUUGAAUUGCAGAGGAAGGAUUUGGAGACAAUGACGCCCUUCGGGGCCUCUGUGAAGGUGCUGCAUGGUUGUCGUCAGCUCGUGCCGUGAGGUGUCGGCUUAAGUGCCAUAACGAGCGCAACCCUCGUGGUCAGUUACUAACAGGUUAAGCUGAGGACUCUGGCCAGACUGCCAUCGUAAGAUGUGAGGAAGGUGGGGAUGACGUCAAAUCAGCACGGCCCUUACGUCCGGGGCUACACACGUGUUACAAUGGGGGGUACAGAGGGCCGCUACCACGCGAGUGGAUGCCAAUCCCAAAAACCUCUCUCAGUUCGGACUGGAGUCUGCAACCCGACUCCACGAAGCUGGAUUCGCUAGUAAUCGCGCAUCAGCCACGGCGCGGUGAAUACGUUCCCGGGCCUUGUACACACCGCCCGUCAAGCCAUGAAAGCCGGGGGUACCUGAAGUGCGUAACCGCAAGGAGCGCCCUAGGGUAAAACCGGUAAUUGGGGCUAAGUCGUAACAAGGUAGCCGUACCGGAAGGUGCGGCUG